AGAGUUUGAUCAUGGCUCAGAACGAACGCUGGCGGCGCGCCUAAUACAUGCAAGUCGAGCGAGAAGACGUAGCAAUACGUUUGUAAAGCGGCGAACGGGUGAGGAAUACAUGGGUAACCUACCCUCGAGUGGGGAAUAACUAGCCGAAAGGUUAGCUAAUACCGCAUACGACUCUCGGUCUGCGGAUCGAGAGGGAAAGCGAUACCGUGGGUAUCGCGCUCAUGGAUGGGCUCAUGUCCUAUCAGCUUGUUGGUGAGGUAACGGCUCACCAAGGCUUCGACGGGUAGCUGGUCUGAGAGGACGAUCAGCCACACUGGCACUGCGACACGGGCCAGACUCCUACGGGAGGCAGCAGUAAGGAAUAUUGCGCAAUGGGCGACAGCCUGACGCAGCGACGCCGCGUGGGGGAUGAAGGUCUUCGGAUUGUAAACCCCUUUCGGCAGGGAAGAUGGAACGGGUAACCGUUCGGACGGUACCUGCAGAAGCAGCCACGGCUAACUUCGUGCCAGCAGCCGCGGUAAUACAUAGGGUGCAAGCGUUGUCCGGAAUUAUUGGGCGUAAAGAGCUCGUAGGUGGUUCGUCACGUCGGAUGUGAAAAUCUGGGGCUUAACCCCAGACCUGCAUUCGAUACGGGCGAGCUAGAGUGUGGUAGGGGAGACUGGAAUUCCUGGUGUAGCGGUGGAAUGCGCAGAUAUCAGGAGGAACACCAAUGGCGAAGGCAGGUCUCUGGGCCAUUACUGACACUGAGGAGCGAAAGCGUGGGGAGCGAACAGGAUUAGAUACCCUGGUAGUCC
rnacentral:rRNA from 1 species